rnacentral:tRNA from 1 species
GGGCCCGCAGCUCAGCCUGGCAGAGCGCGGCCUUGGCGCGGCCGUGGCCCCGGGUUCAAAUCCCGGCGGGUCCA